AUUGCUCACUAUUUAUUAUUUCUAAUUCAGUAAAUGUACAACACAAAACAAGCUUCGGUCCAGACGUUUGACUUUAUUUCACUGCAUUCAACAUUUAACAACUGUAAAAUAGUAUUCAUUGCACAUUACACAUAUAGCAUAACACACACAAUUAAGUGGUAAAAAAAAUAAAACUAUGUCAAAAUGCUGAACAUGCUCAUGACUUACUAAAUAUUUGAAGGUGUUUCUGCAGUCUGGCAGUGGUUAUAUAUUAAGAAUAUCACUUGAAAUGCAUGACAAUUUUCUUAUGUAAAAAAAAUAGUUUGUUCAGGGAAAAUUAUACAUUAAGACAACUUUCAUUUACACAACUUAAUUUUGUCAUUUAUUUGUUCAUCAUUAAAACAUAAUUUUGAAAAGUUAAAAAAAAGUGUUAUUGAAUAUAUAAUAUUCUUUUUUUUUGGAACACUAAAGGACUGCAGACAUUUUUGCCAUUUUGGCACAUACAAUAGGUGUUUAAACAAACACAAGUUGGAACCCGAAGGGCAAAGGAACAAAUGAUGCCUUCAUAUUGCUUUAGAUUCUCAAAAAUGAUGCCAGAAUGCAAAGCAAAUGUUUGCAUAUUGUGUAAAUGCAUGCACAGCAUAAGUACAAUUAUAUGUUUAAAGGUAGUCAUCUGCACUAUGCAGAGAAUUGUAGGCGUCUGAUUUUCUAAAACUUGGAGCUUAGUAAACACCUUUUCUUUUUGCGCCAUAGAUACACUAGCUUCCACUGCUCUGUGCAUCUCCUGGUCUUUAUGUUUUCAAUGACCCCACUAAUAAAAGAUUUAAGGGAGAGCAGAUAAAAUGCUGAAAUUAACGAAUUGUUGAAAAUGUCACUUUAUGUGCCAUAUCACAAUUAUGCUCUUUUUUUCACAUUGCAGUUUGUGUUUUCAUUUUAAAGCAUUUAACUCAUGUUACAUUGAAUUCAUUGAAUUGUAGUAAUUGCACUGAACUGCUACAUAAGAUAAAAGCAAACACAUCUUCUUGUACUAUAGUCAUUUAAAAAACACUGUCUCGUAUUUUUGGGGAUCAAGUCCUUAUUCAUUCUUAUCAGUCAUUUGGCAUAAUGAAAAACAUUCUUAAAUUGUGUGAUGUCAUUUACAUUUUUAAUUAAUUUCAAUUUGUUUUAUGUAUUAUUUUUUUUUUGUUUCACUCGAAAUGCAGUAUGAAAUUAAGAUGCCAUCCAGUUAUGCUAUACAGGGAUUUAAUAAGCCUUUAGUUUUAAAUAAUUACACGGAUACAAAUGCUUUUUUAUAUACUAUUCUUGAAGUUUAAAACAAAGACACAAUAUAUUAAUUUUAAGAUUAAUUGAUGUGUUCUGUUUUAAAAUUUCUUAUUUGCUUAAAAUAUAAUAAAGUAUUGUAUAAGAAAAAAUACUUAAUACUUAAAUACUUAAUCUAAAACCAUAAAAUAUGUAUUAAAACAAAUAUUAA